rnacentral:rRNA from 1 species
UACGUAGGGUCCGAGCGUUGUCCGGAAUUACUGGGCGUAAAGAGCUCGUAGGUGGUUUGUCGCGUUGUUCGUGAAAACUCACAGCUUAACUGUGGGCGUGCGGGCGAUACGGGCAUGACUGGAGUUCGGCAGGGGAGACUGGAAUUCCUGGUGUAGCGGUGAAAUGCGCAGAUAUCAGGAGGAACACCGGUGGCGAAGGCGGGUCUCUGGGCCGAUACUGACGCUGGAGGAGCGAAAGCCGUGGGGAGCGAACAGG